ensembl:lncRNA
GAAGACAAAUAUAUAUAUAUCUUGAUCCAGAAGAUGAAGAAAAUUGUGAGAAUUAAAAAACAGAAGAUUUUGCAAUUGCACAGAUCACUUUUAACCUCAGAAAUAUCAAUUUUAAGCGUUCUUUAAUUAUACGGUAACACCUGUAGUUACUUUAAAGUCUUGAUUUUAGCAUAAAUUUGAAACACUUUAAUGAUAAUGCAUAAUUACGUCAUUACUUAAUUUCCAUUUAUUAGUUGACACAUAUAUGACAAAUUCCAUAUAAGUCAAUUGAUUAAUACUUUUCUUUGAUUAUAUGUUAUUGAACAAUCAAAUUAAUUAAGCGGUGUAGAACACAGGAGAGAUACAUCAGAUUACAAACCAUUUUUUUAAAGCUAAAAAAAAUUAAAUACAAAAAGAAAGCAAUGAUCUUAAUAAAAUGUAAAAAUAUAUCAAAUGUUUAAAAUGAGACAUAGUUUAAAAUUGUAUGAAAAAUAUUAGCUCAUUUUGAAUUUAAUAGUAGCAACAUGUCUCAAAAAUGUUGGGACAGAGCAACAAGAGGGUGGUGCUAAACUUAAACAACUGGAGCAACAUUUUGCAACUAAUUAUAUGAAUUGACAACAGGUCACUAACAUGACCGGGUAUUUAAAAAAAAGAAAAUCUCAGAAGUUAAGAUGGGUAGAGGUUCACCGGUCUGCAAGAAACUGGCUUUAAAUUGUGGAACUACAUAAGAAUAAUAUAACUAUGUCCAAAAUUAGGAAGAUAUGACAACAUCAUUAAAGCAUUCAGAGUCUGGAAAAAAAAAAUUGUACAGUGGUCAAAGCAAAAAUCACAACUGGAUAUCUUUGCACCAUUAGGCAGCAAUAAGGGUCUAUGGAAUUGGCAGCAUUCACAAGGCUGAAAUGUAGAUAUAUGAACUUGUAAUAUCUGCAAAUGAUUGUAUUUGGUUUCAAUUUCCAUUUUACACAGAAUCCCAAAUACUUGGAAUUGGUUUUGUAAAUAAGCAAAACAAUAUAAUCAAUAUAAUAAUCAAAUUGCAUUGAAAUUAAAUGACUUUUUUGUUGAAGAAAGAUUACAUAUUAGAUAGAUCUACA